rnacentral:piRNA from 1 species
UNGCAGUGUGGGGUAAUGGGCUAUGCAC